rnacentral:ribozyme from 1 species
GCCUGCACUUGAGAGCAGCCCUCGCGGCUUGCAGAUGGGC